rnacentral:sRNA from 1 species
AGGGCAAAUUGAAGGAUAUCCACAUCGGAGACUCCGCGUGCCGGGCGCUUUUCCAUAGGCGCACUGAAGACAGCAGAAGCGGAGAGAACUCCCAUGAAUGCACCGCGCAGAAAGGACUUCAUGGCUAGAUCUGUUCCGCCAAAAAUAUAAAAAAUAAAUAAAAAAUAAAAAGAAUGACAGAAUAAAAUAUUAAAGAUGUGAAAAUAAAUACUAGAAAUCGGGUAUCUGAAUAUGCGAAUGAUUGAGCGAGUGGUGACCAGCACACCAAAGCGUAGAAUAUCAGAAAAAUGAGAGUAUAAAAGCAAUGGUAAUUUGAAAGACUGUGGGUAAUCCUUAGGGA